CGAGCGGGCGCGGUGCCCUGCCUCCCCUCCCUGGCCGCGGCUCGGCCCGAGGCUGCUGCGCGGCCGCGAGCGGGCGAGCAGGCGGGCGGCCGGGCUGAACGGCUAGAGCGCCCCGCUCUCCUCCGAGUCCCCCUCACUCCGACACGAGGCUCAGCACUGCCAUUUUACCCAGCGCCGUCGCGGCCGCCUGGAAAACCCGGAGUGGAGCGCGGAGCGGGCGCCGGCUGUGGAACGGACUCGCUCCCUUCCCCUCACAAAGAAGGAGGGGAGAGAACGAACCGCGGCGGCGGCAGGCCCUCAGCCGCUCUCGCUGGGCUGCGCCGCCGCCGGAGGCUUCGGGGAAAACCCGGCCCGGAGCUCGCGCCUCUCCGGAGCCCGCGCCGCCUCCCUCGCGGCGUUCCUGUCCUGGCCUGUCCCCUCCCGGCCGCACCGAGAGGAGCGGGCAGCGUGAACUUUACCCGCGCCUGCAAAAUUGGCCAGAGCCCGAGACCGCGGCCGCUUUGGCCCAAGCCUGACACCCCCCCACACACACCUGGCAGCGGGCCUGGUUUCUUGGCUGCUACUUAGCACCUCUACAGCACUUUUCUUCAAAGCCUUUUGCAGACUUUCUCUAAAGACCCUGCUUUUCACCCCCUUUGGCAAGCCCGAAGGAAGGACUGAUCUUUGUUCAGACUAUCAGUUUUCCUCUGCUCUGUCCACGUUAGCUGGUCCUGACAAGGCCCUGAGGGCAAGAGGUCCAGAUUAUCCCAGUUUUACAGAAUUGAAAGACAAAGGGAGGGGACUGCCCAGGUCUCCUAAAAGUCAGAGGUCAGAGGAAAGUGGCUAUAAGAAGAAGUGAAGUCUCCAAAACUGCCUCCUGUAUACUUAGCCUUUAAAAAGAAAAAAGGAAAGUAUUCAAGUUGUGAGCAAAUCCAACAGUGAGCAGAGUGGCAGAAAGGGUUCGAAAUCGAACUGGUCAUCUCACCACUGACUUCAAAUGGUAGCCUCUGAAGCUGCUUUGGGGACAGAGUCAAGCAGUCCAAACUCCAUUAUCACUUCCUAAGAGAACUUAUAGCUCGAAAUGACCAGUGCAUCAUUUCCAAAGACAGUACCUGAAAGUAUAAACAGCCCAGAAAAGAGGCUCCGUGGACUGCUGGAACGAUUGCCCUAAAUUGCCCUGGCCAGCUUCGAACUUGCCAUCCUCAUGCUUUAGCCUCCGGAGAAGCUGGAAUUACAGGUGUGCCCUUAGUUUUUCUAAACGUAGACUUCUUGGCCACAGACCAUUAUCUGAGCCCUGUUGAGUUCUGUGUCUGUGAUCAACAUGAAUAAUUUCAAACUCCCAAAUUUCUCCCAAGAAAACUAAGAACAUCCUACUCUAUAAAGGCAAAGCCUUCCUGUCAGUGUAAAGAAGUGAGAUUUCCCCAGCCCAGAGCCAAACCAGCCUUCCCAGGAGAUCCAACUGACUGGUGUGGGCCAGUGCCCUCCUUUUACUCACAGCCCUCAGGGGGCAACAACUCUCCUGGUGCAUUAGGUCCUAGAAAAGCAAAUUAUAGGCUGCCUCAUAAAUGGAGCUUGGCUAUUUAAUCAAUUGCCUCAGAGCUGGCAAACAGUCCUGAGUCCUGCACACAAAUGAGGAAUUUUUUAUAUGCAAUUACCCUGCCAUUUUCCUGAGAGCUGGGAUGUAAUGGGAAACCAGGAGCCCAGUGAAAAUCUGGAAAGCAGAAUGGGUUUGUCUCCAAAGAAUGCCCUCAUCGCUUUCCUUCAACGGCUGUGAAGUACGGAAAGCGCCAAAAUCCCUUUCCCUAAAUGAGGGCACGGUGUUUUGAAGAGAAAAAAAUUCAUUUUAAUCUAGCACUAAGGUAUAAGUGCACAGAAAUCCGUCCACUUGGGUCGGAAGUGUUAAUGCGGGAUUUCUCCUUUCCCACUUUUUUUUUUUUAGGCGAUCUAAGGUAUUUUCCCGCUCCCAUUUUUAGAGACCCACACCUUUAACCCAGGACCGCUGGGCUGAGGAACUUUCUUAGAAACUGGCCCAUCCGCUUUCCCUAGGGGCACCGGAGACGCGGGAGGGGGAGGGGAGGAGCCGGGCACGUGGCUGGCCCGAGCUGCGAGACCCCGACUAGAGGCAGUGGGUCCUCCUCUCGGUGGAGUUUUUUCCCCCACGGCCCCUGCCUUUUAACCCCACACCUAGGCAGCUCAGGAAUCCCGGCACAGAUUAGAGAACUAGGACUAGGACAGCGCACCCCUCGCGAAAGCGCCUCUGCCACCAACAACAGCCUGAUGGCAAAUAUGGACUGAAUCGUUGACAUGGAAACCGGACUAAAGUCUCGCUCGCUCUUCCUCACAGGAGAAUUUUAUCAUCUAGCCAGUCCGCAAGGCAUUCGGCAAACGCGGACUGGAUCUCCGGCCGCGCGGAUCAGGUGGAGUUUCGGGGCCCAGGAACUCCAGUGGCUGCGGCCGCCAAGGAAGGGGGCAGGGCUGCCGGGACCCACCGGCUGAAAAUGGCAGAGGAUGUGCUCUUCAUUUUAUCAGGCUACACAGCGUGCUAUGGAUUGGGCCCAAGCCUAAAGGGAUGACCUAUGAAAAUCCCACACAGUCAACUGCAAAAUGUGGAAACAGGGCCUGGAGGCUUUGCUAGGAGAGCGGAACGCACGCAGGGAGGACGGUCCUUCCUGUCAGACCGUUUGUUUCCCCUCAACGUCUGAAAUAACAAAAUUCCUCAAAUCAACAAAAACUGGGGGUCGUCUCUCCAGCCCCGGCCCCCACUCCGUCUUAAACCUAGGGACCCCAGGGCGGGCCGCGUGGAGCUCUGGCUGAGGAGCGGAGCGUCGGCGCGGCUCGGAGCUGUGGCCCCCAGCAGGCUCCCGCCGCGACCCAGAGGCAGACGCCCAGCCGAGCGAGCGCUCCCAAGUGCGAACUGGAGCGGCGAGUUUGAGCAAAAGGGCAACUGUGUCAGUUGACGGAAGCCAGAAGUAGAGUUCAAAGCCUGGCGUGGAUUUCUGUCUGGAGCCGUCUGUUUCUUAAAGUUUGUAACUCCGUGUUAAGAAACAGCGCCAGCGGAGGCUUUGGGAUCAGUGUGAAAGUCUAGCAGUACCAUCUGACAGCGAGCUGCAAAACUUUGGGCUGCAUAUUAAGCGAGGAAAGUGGAUUGAAGCGAGAGUCAAGGGGAUGUAUUUUCUUCCCGGCUCCCAGGCAAGAGCAGUAAAAUACGAACUGGAUUAGCACGGAGAAAAAAUGGAAUGGAGUCCGAAUGGCUCUCAAAAGCUCUUCGCGGUAAAAUUGUGCCUGGCAAGGACCUGGGUACCCAAAAGAGAGAACCAGGAGAUCUCAAGCUUGGUGGACACACAACAGCAGCUUUUCUAGAUCCCUUUUCCGCUGGAAAGCCUUAAUAAACAAUUUAGGAGAAUGUACAUUUGAAGAAAUGCUAA